UACGUAGGGUGCAAGCGUUUGUCCGGAAUUAUUGGGCGUAAAGAGCUCGUAGGCGGUUUGUUGCGUCGGCUGUGAAAUCCCGAGGCUCAACCUCGGGUCUGCAGUCGAUACGAGCAAACUAGAGUGUUGCAGGGGAGACUGGAAUUCCUGGUGUAGCGGUGAAAUGCGCAGAUAUCAGGAGGAACACCGGUGGCGAAGGCGGGUCUCUGGGCAACAACUGACGCUGGAGGAGCGAAAGCGUGGGAGCGAACAGG
rnacentral:rRNA from 1 species